rnacentral:rRNA from 1 species
GACAGAGGGUGCAGACGUUGCUCGGAAUCACUGGGCGUAAAGGGCGUGUAGGCGGGAAGGAUAGUCAGAUGUGAAAGCCCUGGGCUCAACCCAGGAACUGCAUUUGAAACUCCCUUUCUUGAGUGUCGGAGAGGAAAGCGGAAUUCCUGGUGUAGAGGUGAAAUUCGUAGAUAUCAGGAGGAACACCGGUGGCGAAGGCGGCUUUCUGGACGACAACUGACGCUGAGACGCGAAAGCGUGGGGAGCAAACAGG